GAACAUAAUGAUGAGAGGACUGAUGGAUGGACAAUGGUUAACUAAUCUAUAUUUUUAUUUGAGUUGAAUAACUUCCAAAUACAAAAUAUAGGGUUAGUCUAUCCAUUUCUAUAAAUCAGUGUACAUGUCAUGAAUUUAAUGGCAAACUACAAACUUAUUUAUGAAAAUUAACGGCUAAUCCUUCCAUAUCCAUUUGGGAGGAUUUUUUA
rnacentral:ncRNA from 15 species